UUCCUACGGGAGGCAGCAGUGGGGAAUUUUGGACAAUGGGCGCAAGCCUGAUCCAGCCAUGCCGCGUGUCUGAAGAAGGCCUUCGGGUUGUAAAGGACUUUUGUCAGGGAAGAAAAGGACAGGGAUAAUACCCCUGUCUGAUGACGGUACCUGAAGAAUAAGCACCGGCUAACUACGUGCCAGCAGCCGCGGUAAUACGUAGGGUGCGAGCGUUAAUCGGAAUUACUGGGCGUAAAGCGGGCGCAGACGGUUACUUAAGCAGGAUGUGAAAUCCCCGGGCUCAACCUGGGAACUGCGUUCUGAAC
rnacentral:rRNA from 1 species